rnacentral:rRNA from 1 species
AUACGGAGGAUGCGAGCGUUAUCCGGAUUUAUUGGGUUUAAAGGGUGCGUAGGCUGUGCGUUAAGUCAGGGGUGAAAUGCCGUCGCUCAACGACGGAGCUGCCCUUGAUACUGGCGUGCUGGAGUACGGAUGCCGUUGGAGGAAUGAGUGGUGUAGCGGUGAAAUGCUUAGAUAUCACUCAGAACACCGAUUGCGAAGGCAUCUGACGAAUCCGUCACUGACGCUGAGGCACGAAAGCGUGGGGAUAGAACAGGAUUAGAUACCCUGGUAUUCCACGCCGUAAACGAUGAUGACUAACCGUCGGCGAUAGACAGCCGGUGGCCAAGCGAAAGCGAUAAGUCAUCCACCUGGGGAGUACGCCGGCAACGAUGAAACUCAAAUGAAUUGGCGGGG